CAAUUACAUAUGUUUUUGGGUGCUCGCGAGAGCCUAACAGAGAAAACGGUGAAAAACCGUUGCGAUCCUGUCACUGUAAUGUGGAGUUCCUUUCAUGAUGUCACUGGCUAUUUGUAGCUGGGAAGGCGAAUCGAACGAUGAAACUGAGCCAGGAGAACUGCCCAAAAAUGAUUUUACUU
rnacentral:ncRNA from 1 species